rnacentral:tRNA from 1 species
AUAUUUUAGUAUAAUUGUAUUAAGAAUUUUGAUUUCUUAGGAAGAAAAAUUUUUCUAAAUAUAUA